GAAAUUAUUAUAAAAACCGAAACGAAUUAAGAUGAUUCGGUUUGAUUUAUUUAGUUCAAAUUGAAUAAUAUUCAUAAUUAUUUCAAAAUUAAUUAAAUUGAAUCGAACAAAAUUAAAAUUUAUUAGUUUGAUUUGAUUGAGAAAAAAUCUGAUUCCAUUUUUUUAAUUUUUUUAGUUUUAUCAAAACUGAAUUGAUCAAUUGU
rnacentral:misc_RNA from 1 species